AUUUACGGGCCAGCUUCUCCUCCUCCCAAAGCGGCCCGUCGGAAUGACGACACUCCUCCUCCCAGUCGUCGUUCAUUGUUUUCGAAAAGCCUGCCGCACCUCCUCCCGCGGCGGGCUUUUCGU
rnacentral:sRNA from 2 species